rfam:Heligmosomoides polygyrus genome assembly, scaffold: HPBE_contig0001385
GCAUCGUUGGUUCAGUGGAAGAAUGCUUGCCUUUCAAGUAGGCGACACGGGUUCGAUUCCUGGCCGAUGCU